GAUGAACGCUGGCGGCGUGCCUAAUACAUGCAAGUCGAGCGAACGGACGAGAAGCUUGCUUCUCUGAUGUUAGCGGCGGACGGGUGAGUAACACGUGGAUAACCUACCUAUAAGACUGUGAUAACUUCGGGAAACCGGAGCUAAUACCGGAUAAUAUUUUGAACCGCAUGGUUCAAAAGUGAAAGACGGUCUUGCUGUCACUUAUAGAUGGAUCCGCGCUGCAUUAGCUAGUUGGUAAGGUAACGGCUUACCAAGGCAACGAUGCAUAGCCGACCUGAGAGGGUGAUCGGCCACACUGGAACUGAGACACGGUCCAGACUCCUACGGGAGGCAGCAGUAGGGAAUCUUCCGCCAUGGGCGAAAGCCUGACGGCGCAACGCCGCGUGAGUGAUGAAGGUCUUCGGAUCGUAAAACUCUGUUAUUAGGGAAGAACAUAUGUGUAAGUAACUGUGCACAUCUUGACGGUACCUAAUCAGAAAGCCACGGCUAACUACGUG
rnacentral:rRNA from 1 species